rnacentral:rRNA from 1 species
GACGAACGCUGGCGGCGCGCCUAACACAUGCAAGUCGAACGAGCGAGAGAGAGCUUGCUUUCUCAAGCGAGUGGCGAACGGGUGAGUAACGCGUGAGGAACCUGCCUCAAAGAGGGGGACAACAGUUGGAAACGACUGCUAAUACCGCAUAAGCCCACGGCUCGGCAUCGAGCAGAGGGAAAAGGAGCAAUCCGCUUUGAGAUGGCCUCGCGUCCGAUUAGCUAGUUGGUGAGGUAAUGGCCCACCAAGGCGACGAUCGGUAGCCGGACUGAGAGGUUGAACGGCCACAUUGGGACUGAGACACGGCCCAGACUCCUACGGGAGGCAGCAGUGGGGAAUAUUGCACAAUGGGGGAAACCCUGAUGCAGCGACGCCGCGUGGAGGAAGAAGGUCUUCGGAUUGUAAACUCCUGUUGUUGAGGAAGAUAAUGACGGUACUCAACAAGGAAGUGACGGCUAACUACGUGCCAGCAGCCGCGGUAAAACGUAGGUCACAAGCGUUGUCCGGAAUUACUGGGUGUAAAGGGAGCGCAGGCGGGAAGACAAGUUGGAAGUGAAAUCCAUGGGCUCAACCCAUGAACUGCUUUCAAAACUGUUUUUCUUGAGUAGUGCAGAGGUAGGCGGAAUUCCCGGUGUAGCGGUGGAAUGCGUAGAUAUCGGGAGGAACACCAGUGGCGAAGGCGGCCUACUGGGCACCAACUGACGCUGAGGCUCGAAAGUGUGGGUAGCAAACAGGAUUAGAUACCCUGGUAGUCCACACUGUAAACGAUGAUUACUAGGUGUUGGAGGAUUGACCCCUUCAGUGCCGCAGUUAACACAAUAAGUAAUCCACCUGGGGAGUACGACCGCAAGGUUGAAACUCAAAGGAAUUGACGGGGGCCCGCACAAGCAGUGGAGUAUGUGGUUUAAUUCGACGCAACGCGAAGAACCUUACCAAGUCUUGACAUCCUGCGACGCACAUAGAAAUAUGUGUUUCCUUCGGGACGCAGAGACAGGUGGUGCAUGGUUGUCGUCAGCUCGUGUCGUGAGAUGUUGGGUUAAGUCCCGCAACGAGCGCAACCCUUAUGGUCAGUUACUACGCAAGAGGACUCUGGCCAGACUGCCGUUGACAAAACGGAGGAAGGUGGGGAUGACGUCAAAUCAUCAUGCCCUUUAUGACUUGGGCUACACACGUACUACAAUGGCGUUAAACAAAGAGAAGCUAGACCGCGAGGUGGAGCUAAAACUCAGAAACGACGUCCCUGUUUCGGACUGCGGGCUGC